rnacentral:rRNA from 1 species
GACGAACGCUGGCGGCGUGCCUAACACAUGCAAGUUGAGCGACGAACCAGGGCUUGCCCUGGGGCAAAGCAGCGAACGGGUGAGUAACACGUGGGUAACCUACCCCGAUAACCGGGACAACCCGAGGAAACUCGGGCUAAUACCGGAUGUGCUCACUGGACUUCGGUUCAGUGCGUAAAGGAAGCUUCGGCCUCCGUAUCGGGAGGGGCCCGCGGCCCAUUAGUUUGUUGGUGAGGUAACGGCUCACCAAGACCGCGAUGGGUAGCUGGUCUGAGAGGACGAUCAGCCACACUGGGACUGAGACACGGCCCAGACUCCUACGGGAGGCAGCAGUGGGGAAUCUUGCGCAAUGCGCGAAAGCGUGACGCAGCAACGCCGCGUGGGGGAAGAAGGCCUUCGGGUUGUAAACCCCUUUCAGGAGGGACGAAGGUUCGGCGGUGAAUAGCCGUCCGGACUGACGGUACCGCCACAAGAAGCCCCGGCUAACUACGU